UGGGGAAUAUUGCACAAUGGGGGAAACCCUGAUGCAGCGACGCCGCGUGAACGAAGAAGGUAUUCGUAUCGUAAAGUUCUGUCCUAUGGGAAGAUAAUGACAGUACCAUAGAAGAAAGCUCCGGCUAAAUACGUGCCAGCAGCCGCGGUAAUACGUAUGGAGCGAGCGUUGUCCGGAAUUAUUGGGCGUAAAGGGUACGCAGGCGGUUUAAUAAGUCGAAUGUUAAAGAUCGGGGCUCAACCCCGUAAAGCAUUGGAAACUGAUAAACUUGAGUAGUGGAGAGGAAAGUGGAAUUCCGAGUGUAGUGGUGAAAUACGUAGAUAUUAGGAGGAAUACCAGUAGCGAAGGCGACUUUCUGGACACAAACUGACGCUGAGGUACGAAAGCGUGGGGAGCAAACAGG
rnacentral:rRNA from 1 species